rnacentral:misc_RNA from 1 species
GAUGAAGAACGUAGUGAAAUGCGAUAAGUAAUGUGAAUUGCAGAAUUCAGUGAAUCAUCGAAUCUUUGAACGCACAUUGCGCCCGCCAGUGUUCUGGCGGGCAUGCCUGUCCGAGCGUCAUUUCAACCCUCGAACCCCUCCGGGGGGUCGGCGUUGGGGAUCGGCCCUGCCUCUUGGCGGUGGCCGUCUCCGAAAUACAGAGGCGGUCUCGCCGCAGCCUCUCCUGCGCAGUAGUUUGCACACUCGCAUCGGGAGCGCGGCGCGUCCACAGCCGUUAAACACCCAACUUCUGAAAUGUUGACCUCGGAUCAGGUAGGAAUACCCGCUGAACUUAAGCAUAUCAAUAAGCGGAGGA